CACUCCUACGGGAGGUAGCAGUGGGGAAUAUUGGACAAUGGGCGCAAGCCUGAUCCAGCCAUGCCGCGUGAGUGAUGAAGGCCCUAGGGUUGUAAAGCUCUUUCACCGGUGAAGAUAAUGACGGUAACCGGAGAAGAAGCCCCGGCUAACUUCGUGCCAGCAGCCGCGGUAAUACGAAGGGGGCUAGCGUUGUUCGGAUUUACUGGGCGUAAAGCGCACGUAGGCGGACUAUUAAGUCAGGGGUGAAAUCCCGGGGCUCAACCCCGGAACUGCCUUUGAUACUGGUAGUCUUGAGUUCGAGAGAGGUGAGUGGAAUUCCGAGUGUAGAGGUGAAAUUCGUAGAUAUUCGGAGGAACACCAGUGGCGAAGGCGGCUCACUGGCUCGAUACUGACGCUGAGGUGCGAAAGCGUGGGGAGCAAACAGGAUUAGAUACCCCUGUAGUCCCAUGAU
rnacentral:rRNA from 1 species